GCAGGCUGCAACUCGCCUGCAUGAAGCUGGAAUUGCUAGUAAUCGCGGAUCAGCAUGCCGCGGUGAAUACGUUCCCGGGCCUUGUACACACCGCCCGUCACACCAUGAGAGUCGGGAACACCCGAAGUCCGUAGUCUAACCGCAAGGAGGGCGCGGCCGAAGGUGGGUCCGGUAAUUGGGGUGAAGUCGUAACAAGGUAGC
rnacentral:rRNA from 1 species